AAGCCACGGCUAACUACGUGCCAGCAGCCGCGGUAAUACGUAGGUGGCGAGCGUUAUCCGGAAUCAUUGGGCGUAAAGGGUGCGUAGGUGGCACGAUAAGUCUGUAGUAAAAGGCAGCGGCUCAACCGCUGUUGGCUAUGGAAACUGUCGAGCUGGAGUGCAGAAGAGGGCGAUGGAAUUCCAUGUGUAGCGGUAAAAUGCGUAGAUAUAUGGAGGAACACCAGUGGCGAAGGCGGCCGCCUGGUCUGCAACUGACACUGAAGCACGAAAGCGUGGGGAGCAAAUAGGAUUAGAUACCCUAGUAGUCCACGCCGUAAACGAUGGGGGCCAGGGCGCGGGGUCGACCCGCGUCCGAAGCAAACGCAUUAAGCCCCCCGCCUGGGUACUACGUUCGCAAGAAUAAAACUUAAAGGAAUUGGCGGGUGCCCGCACAAGCAGUGGAGCAUGCGGUUCAAUUCGUGGCUACACGUAGAACCUUACCAGGGUUUGACAUGCCGGCAAAGGCCCCGGAGACGGGGAGAUAGCUAUGCCGGACAAAGGUGGUGCAUGGCUGUCGUCAGCUCGUGUCGUGAGAUGUUAGGUCAAGUCCUCCAACGAGCGCGACCCCCGCCGCCAGUUGCCAUCAUCGAGUUGGGCACUCUGGCGGGACCGCCGGCGACAAGCCGGAGGAAGGCGGGGAUGACGUCAAGUCAUCAUGCCCCUUAUGCCCUGGGCCACACGCGUGCUACAAUGGCCGGCACAGUGGGAAGCGACGCCGCGAGGCGGAGCGGAUCCCAAAAGCCGGUCCCAGUACGGACCGGGGGCUGCAACCCGCCCCCGCGAAGCUGGAAUUGCUAGUAAUCGCGGAUCAGCCAAGCCGCGGUGAAUGCGUUCUCGGGCAUUGCACACACUGCCCGUCACACCAUGAAAGCCUGCAACGCUCUAAGUCGCCAGCCCGACCCGAAAGGGGGGGCGGCGCCCAAGGCGGGGCCGGUGAUUGGGGUUAAGUCGAAACAAGGUAUCCCUACGAGAACGUGGGGAUG
rnacentral:rRNA from 1 species